UACGGGGGGGGCAAGCGUUGUUCGGAAUUACUGGGCGUAAAGGGCUCGUAGGUGGCCAACUAAGUCAUACGUGAAAUCCCUCGGCUUAACCGGGGAACUGCGUCUGAUACUGUUUGGCUUGAGUUUGGGAGAGGGAUGCGGAAUUCCAGGUGUAGCGGUGAAAUGCGUAGAUAUCUGGAGGAACACCGGUGGCGAAGGCGGCGUCCUGGACCAACACUGACACUGAGGAGCGAAAGCCAGGGGAGCAAACGGG
rnacentral:rRNA from 1 species